rnacentral:rRNA from 1 species
UACAGAGGUCCCAAGCGUUGUUCGGAUUCACUGGGCGUAAAGGGUGCGUAGGUGGCCAGGUAAGUUCGGUGUGAAAGCUCGGAGCUUAACUCCGAAAUGUCAUUGAAUACUAUCUGGCUGGAGGGUCGGAAGGGAGACUGGAAUUCUCGGUGUAGCAGUGAAAUGCGUAGAUAUCGAGAGGAACACCAGUGGCGAAGGCGAGUCUCUGGACGACUCCUGACACUGAGGCACGAAAGCUAGGGGAGCAAACAGG